AAUUCACAGCCAAUUUUUCUCUCAAUUGUUUCAUAUCUAUUUCUUUUUCUCUCAAUACCAAACCCUAAUCCCUUUUACUUUUUCUCAAUAUUUUUCUUCUCAAUCCUUAGAUAAAAAAAGACGGAUGAGAAAUCAACGCCGAGAAGCUUGGCCUUAGUCGGCUCCAAUUCCGAAUCUCUCCUCUCUCUCUCACAACUACGGUGGCUCACUUCUUCGACUCUCCACUUUGAAAUCUCUCCUCUCUUGUAUAUCUCCUCUAAUUAAACAUCUACAUAUGCUCUUGUCUCUGUAUCUUCUCCUAGUGCUCAUGUAAUCUCUCUCGCUCCCUUAAAGCAUGAUUAUUCAUAAGUGUUAUUGAUUUUAUGGUCUCUCCAGUGAUUUUCCUUAUUCGUUGAUUCUCUUAUGAAUUUCCUGAUAGCGUCUCUUCAGUUCUCUAUGGCUAUCGAUCUCCUCAAACAAAAGACGAAGCUUGUUUGAAUCUCUGUCUUUGUAGAUAGUUUCUUGUGUUCUUAUGCGAGUGUUUCAUUUGGCAAGCAUUGAUUACAUUGAAGAUCUUGUGACCUACAAUGCUGCUGACCACAACGUUGAACAAGCGUUGAUUACAUUGAAGAAGGGCUUGCAGGUUUUGAUCUGGAUAUCGAGCAGUGGUGAAAAGCGACUUAAGUUAGCUUCUGUAUCUAAAAUUGUACCUAGACAAAGAACUGUAAGAAGAUAUUCUUCAUUUUCUUGUGAAAGUGUUCUUUUUGGAUCUUGUUCUGAA